GCUGGGCAUGGUGGCGCAUGCCUGUAAUCCCAGCUACUUGGGAGGCUGAGGCAGGAGAAUCGCUUGAACCCGGGAGGCAGAGGUUGCAGUGAGCUGAGAUCACGCCAUUGCACUCUAGCCUGGGCAACAGAGCAAGACUCCGUCUCAA
ensembl:misc_RNA Metazoa_SRP Metazoan signal recognition particle RNA